UACGUAGGGUGCGAGCGUUUAAUCGGAAUUACUGGGCGUAAAGCGUGUGCAGGCGGUUUGUUAAGACAGGUGUGAAAUCCCCGGGCUUAACCUGGGAAUUGCGCUUGUUACUGGCAAGCUAGAGUGCGUCAGAGGGAGGUGGAAUUCCACGUGUAGCAGUGAAAUGCGUAGAGAUGUGGAGGAACACCGAUGGCGAAGGCAGCCUCCUGGGAUGACACUGACGCUCAUACACGAAAGCGUGGGGAGCAAACAGG
rnacentral:rRNA from 1 species